GCGCCCGGCGGCUCCGGGGAGGGCGGGGCGGCGCUGGUGUGUGGGAGCUGCCGGCAGGCAGGCCGCCCGGGCAGCGGGUGAGUUACCUCAACUCGCGGCCGCUCCCGGGGUUGCCGGGCACCGAGGGGCCGCCGUGCCCUUCAGGCGCCUGCGGCGGCGACCAGGAAGGGAGGGCGAGCGGAGGAAGCCGAGAGGACGAGGAGGAGGGGCGACGGCGGGGAUGUUCCCGCAGGACCGGGGACACCAGGGCGGGGAAGGCAGGGACUUGAACCUCGCGCUGACCCGCCCCCGGUGUCGGUCCCUCCCUCCGGCUUUCCUCACCGCUCUGCCCCGCCGCUCCCGCGCGGAGCUCCGUGCGAGUUGCCCCCUGGCCCCCUCCCCGGGCAGGUUCGGGCGUCCCGAGUGGCGGCGGCUGCCUGUGUGUGUGUCAGGAGAGGGGCAGCGCCUGCUUCGGGGAACUGUCCCCGGAGAGCAGCCCGGACCCGCGGGGCGGCUCCCUGGGCCUCUCUCGGCCCUGCGGGGAUGGGCAAGAAGGACGAUCAAACUUUAUCCCUCUCGGCGACUUCCUGCGUGCGUGGGCACGGGGAGCGGCGCCGGGCGAGGGAUGCUGCAUUGCUUCAGGAGCAGGCUCCGUCCGCGGUCCUCCAAGGUCCCCGGUGGUCCCCUCGCAGGGCCGGUGCAUAAACUUGCUCCGCGCGCUGGAGGGAGGAGGGCGGGCAGCAGGCAGAGGGGAGCGAAGGUGACAAGUUAUUCGGAGAGUCUGGGAUUUGGUGGUUGUCUUAGUCAGUUAUUGCUGUUUUCAUUGGCUGGCAGGGAUCGAGGAGUUUCUGUCUGAACAGUUGUGUGUGUGUGUGUGCAUGUGUGUGUGCAUGUGCGUCUGCAUGUGCGUGUGUGUGCAUGUGCGUGUGCAUGCAUGUGCGUGUGCGUGUGAUUUUUGUCAAUUGCAAGAGAUCCACUUGCCAUGGAGUUCUAGACCUCACAAGUCUGCAGGUUCUCUUCCCUUGCACUUCCUUCUAGACCCAUAUGUGUUGGUCUCUGGCCAACUCAGAGAGGAGUGCAGGUUUUAUGUCCUGGGGCUGACGGCCCAGCCGGAUGGAAGAAACUGGUGCCUUUAGCCCUCCACAAAUACACGCACCUCUCGUGUGCUGAUUGCAUGGCUGUUGGGAGGAAACUGGACCGGGGGUUCUCGGAGGGGAUAGCCCAAGACCCACGACAGCAGAAAAUUAAGUGUCUGAAAGAGCUCUGUAAACUGCAAGAUGGUAUUGCCAUUCUUGGUCAUAAGUAUUUCCUGGAUUAGUGAAGUAGGAAUACCCUCAUUUCCCUCCUCCUCCUCUGAAGAGAGCUCCUCAGUUACUGUUUGUUGCUGCUCCCUCUGAAGGUCUUGGAGUUCCUUGGUCGUCAGCUCAGUGUUGUGGUGCUCCACCAACUCAUCACAUCAUCAUCACCCAUCUUCAAGCCCAUGACUUGCCCAGAGACACAGUAUCCUCUACAACAGACACUGGCUCAUCCUCAGAUACCUCAAGGUCUCUUUCAGCAAUGGACUCAGGCCACAGUUUCUUCCAGGCUGAUUGCAUGGUCCUGGAAGACACUCCGCCCAUGUUUUGUCUAUUAGCCUCAAGCAAGUGAGGAUGUUAAAAUGUUCCUUCCAGAACUCCCUGAGUAUUAAAUUAGUUUCAGAGGUCACCUCAAAGCACCUCUGAAACAAUGUUUUUGUGUAGAGUUUCUUAAAAUUAGAAAUGACCUGCUGGUCCAUGGGCUGGAUGAAGAGGAGUUGUGUUAAGUGUCAAGAACCUAACAGUGAGGAAGCUAUACACCUCCAUCAACUUGGCCUCCAAGCCUGGAAGGUGGGCAGGAAUAUUGUCCAUUACAAGUGCCCUGAGUGGCAGUUUUUCCUAGAGGUAUUUCUUCACACUUGGGGCAAACACUUCAUGAAUCUACUCAAAAAAUUGCCCAGUUCCCCAAGCUUUGCUGUUCGCUCUCCACAUCACAUUCAACUUGUUUUUCAUGACAUCACUUUUCUUGAAAACACAUGACAUUAUUUUUCUUAAAUUUAGAAUGAUAGACUAUUAGAGGCUUAAAUUUAGAGUCCCUACACUCAUUCCCACACAACCUAAUGUCAGCUGGUCCUUCACUCGUUUGUGUCCUAGCAAUGACUUCUCCUCCUGUGUGAUAUAGGUCAUCUUUGGCAUUUUCUUCCACAGGAGGGCUGUCUCAUCAGAGUUGAACACCUGUUGGGAAACAAAUCCCUUGGCCUCUACGUAUUCUUGAAAUUCUGUCACAAAAUUAUCAGUAGCUACUUUGUUAGAACUGGCAGCCGCUGCAUGCCUCACUAUAUUAUGAAUGCCACUUCUUUUCUUAAAUUUAUUAGCCUUAAACAAAUCACUUUCAGCACUCACGCCAGGGGCAUCUUCCAGGAGGUCAGCAUGCAGCAUCUUUGCUUUUUCACAUAUUAAAUGCUGUCACUGGCUGACUGCUUUCAUACCCUUAGCAACAUCACACCUUUGAUGGCCUCUUUAUGUAUUAAAAUUGUGCUAAUUGUGAUUUCAACAUGCCAUACUUGGUAGCCAGAUUAGACAUGACAAACUCCUUUAUCAGACUUUGCAAUUAUUACUUUUUAAAGCUCUAUUGCUAUUCUCACAACUUUCCUUUUCACUUGACUGCUAUCACUAACCUUCUUAGGCUCCAUGGUGACCUCCUGUAUGUAUCCUAUAUAAUAAAGAGGGAAUAUGCAAAUUGACCAUCACUCCUCCACAAAGAUGUGGUGCCCACAGUGGAGGCGAGGGGGUUUCUGUAACACAAGAUGGCUGCAAUGAGCCUUAACAAGCAAUCAGCAGGGACCUGAGGCUGUGCCCCCUCUUGGCGCCGGGCCAGGGGACCUGAGGCUGUGCCCCAUGCCUGGCAGGGCUUGACAGGGGACCUCAGGUCGCGUCCCCCACCCAGCGGGGCUUGAAGGGAAAUCUCAAGGUGCGCCCCCCGCCCCAGCGCCGGGCCAGGGGACCUGAGGCUGCACCCCCACUCAGCGGGGCUUGACAAGGGUGGGAUCGGCUGGGUCUGGAUCUAUCCCAAUGGGCGGGGGCCGGCCGGGUCUAGGUCUUGCGCGAUUUUGAGGCUCACAUGGGUAGGUGGGGACUUGACUCUGGGUCCUGUGGUGUGCCCCAGACUCUGACAGGAGGAAGAUUUUCAUAUACAUUUUACUAAUUUUCUUUCAUCUCUGACACUUCUAUUAUAGAGAAAGGGCAAAUAGCAAUAUUAAAAUAUUUCCUCUAAUUAAUCCCCUUUUAAUGUGCAUGAAUUUCGUGCACCGGGCCACUAGUUUAAUAAUAAUAAUAAGCAGCAA